AGGCGGUUAGUAUAAGCAGUACGUUAGCCUGUCACGUUAAAAGUGCAUAAUUAUUUAAGCACCGCCUA
rnacentral:tRNA from 1 species